rnacentral:ribozyme from 1 species
AGCAAUACCGCACUGAUACGGGUAUCUUCCGACACCUCUCGAAGGUUAAUAUAGGAUCUCCACACCCUACUCCGACUCAAUACGUCCACGGCGUACAGAACGGUAACAUACCCGCUUGGCAAAGAGUA